UCAAAUCAAGGCAACAAGCCACUUUAGUUUCCUCCUCUACUCGUGAGUAUAACAGCUUCACUACUUGUGUGUAUGUGUGAGUGAGCAGCACUAUGUGCUCUGCUAGUUUGCACUAGCUGUAGUUUAGACUUGGUUGAUCCUCGGACAACUAGCUACUCGCUAGUUCGGGCCAACAAUUAACAGACGCACCAUGGGGGAAGCAGUGUGGACAGCCAAAACUGUGCGGCGGAAGUGGGGGCAGAGGCAGCGAUUGGGGAUUCCGCUCAGUCAUCUGAUUUAUCCAUAGAACAGAUCGAUCCCCAAUUGGCUGGAUAGACUAGAAGGUAUGUUAGAUUUCCGAUCAUAAAGUGUUUGGCUGAAUUACAUCUUGCAGAUUUGAGUAGAAAGUGUCACCACUUUUCGGCAGAAAUAUAGUUAAUAGAAAAUAUUAAAAUAACAAGGUUUGUGAUUGUUGCCAUGGGUAGUGGGGAUUUUAGCAAAUAAUUAAAAUUGUUGAAUGAUGCCUAUGUGGCGCUUCAGCCUAUCUAUAUUUUCAAUCCGUAAGCAGUUGUUCGUGAUGAAAAGAACGUGAUUAUCAUUGCGGUAAAAAAAUGAUUAUCGAUCAAAUAAACAUGGUUACAAUUAAUUCAUAGUGUUGUGUUUUGUGGGGAGGGAUUGUGAACUGUAUUUAUUUUAUUUUGGAAUCAUGCAUGCAUCAUUAUUUGAGAAGAACGUUGUGGGCAAUCUCUUGCAUGAACUAAUUGUGUACGAACACUUUUAUUUGCGCACAGAGUUAGGAUUUGGGCCACCGAGCUAGGUAGCACGCCUAUGUAUACUGAAUUUUGAUAGGUGUACUAUUACAUUUAGUUGGUUACUGACUUUUUAUAAAAAUUUUGUCCAUCAGAUAUUCCUGUGGUAUAACUGUCACGUGCCUGAUCAAAUUCCUGUGGUACCCUACAACUUAUGUGCUUGUGUUGAUCAUUACAUGUGCUUAAGAUUUAUUAAACCACGGAAUAGAUAUGGAAAAUUAGCAUAGAACUAUAAAUACACUGUUUAGGCCUCAUGUACUUAUGUUCAGAUUGAAAAAUUCAUGUAUCAUGUCCUUCUGUAAGAAACUUUCUAAUCAAAAUGACUGGAGUGCUA